GGGGACCAGCGAACUAACAGUUCCCUUCCCAGCUAGCACACGCUGACCCUAAUAAUAGACCGCGGGCUGAAUCAUCGUGGCUCUGACACAGUCCCAGCUGUUUCCGUGACCAGCUUUCUGGAGGCCUCCAAGAAUGUGCAGGGUAAUCAGUGACUUUAAUUUUAGUCACCGUGACACACAGGAGGUUCUGCCGAUCUCUGUUGACCUGGCCUUAGGAUGCGUGAUGUGAUGAGGGGAGGAAACUGAGGACAAAAGCUCUGCGAGGAAUCCCUACCCAAUGACUCUAGCGGGCACACGAAAUGUGGCCUCACCUAUUCAUACAAACCAGAGCCUGGACUUCCUGGUGACACAUUUUGAGCUGCGAAGAAAAAGCUGAUACCCUAGAUAGCAGUGCAAUUGCUUGGAAGGAAGUUGGACCCUUGAGUGAUGGGAUCUGAAGUCGUGAUGAGAUUGAUAUAGGUUCACUCUACAGUGCCGUUGACAACCAGCACCCAUCUGUAGACAAACAUGCAAGUACAACUCCACCUGUGUUCGUAGCACCCCAGAGGUGACAGAUCCUGUACCACAUGCGCCUG